UGACAUCGACGUUCCUAAAACCAUUCAGA
rnacentral:piRNA from 1 species